CCUACGGGAGGCAGCAGUGAGGAAUAUUGGUCAAUGAGCGGAAGCCUGAACCAGCCAAGUAGCGUGCGGGAUGAAGGCCCUACGGGUCGUAAACCGCUUUUGCACGGGGAUAACACCCUCCACUUGUGGAGGUCUGCAGGUACCGUGCGAAUAAGGGCCGGCUAAUUCCGUGCCAGCAGCCGCGGUAAUACGGAAGGCCCGAGCGUUAUCCGGAUUCAUUGGGCUUAAAGGGAGCGUAGGCGGGCGUUCAAGUCAGCUGUAAAAUCGCGCGGCUCAACCGCGCCCCGCAGUUGAAACUGGACGACUUGAGUUCACAACAGGCAGGCGGAAUUCGUGGUGUAGCGGUGAAAUGCAUAGAUAUCACGAGGAACCCCGAUUGCGAAGGCAGCCUGCCGGGGUGCGACUGACGCUGAGGCUCGAAGGUGCGGGUAUCAAACAGGAUUAGAUACCCUUGUAGUC
rnacentral:rRNA from 1 species